rnacentral:lncRNA from 1 species
AGUUACUGCCACCCUCUCCCAGGUCUAGAGAGGGGUACCCACGGUGGAGGGAGGUGGGAGGCCGAGACGGCCCCGGGGGUCGGCGGAGACCCAGCGGGAGCAGGGGGAAAUCGGAAGAGCUGGGGGCAUGGAGCGGGCGAGUUUGGAGCGGAAUGAGCCGGGAGCCCUACGUUGUGGAAGGAAGACAACAGUAUAGGACCAUCAGCAGGACCGGACAGAGAGGGGCACGUAAGCACCCUGGCUGUCCUGGAACUUGUAGACCAGGCUGGCCUUGAACUCAGAAAUCCGCCUGCCUCUGACUCCCGAGUGCUGAGAUUAAAGGUGUGCACCACCACACCCGACAAGGAAGCCUGUUUUAAGAAGUGAUUCCAUGGAGGAGUUCUGCGGCGGCUCAGGGCUUGACUAAACAGUGGACCUCAGACCCGAGGGUGAAGGAUGAGGAGGAUGGAAGAAAAUGGGAGUGGCGCUUGCUGCAAAGGGUCUCGAAGGGUCUCAGCACCUGCGAACUGGCUCCAAUCCAAACUCCACUAUUCAUGGUCAAGUUCACAUAGGGCUUGGGGUUCUAACAAGAUGUGACUAAACUUACGUUUUCUAUCUUA